AUGCGGCUCCUCCUCCUGCUCCCACUCCUCGUCGCGGCCACCGGCGCCGCCCGCGACUCCGACGACCCCUUCCUCUCCGGCGCCCAGGCGAACCACAGCUACAACAUCGACUGCGGCGGCGCGGCGGACUUCACCUCGGCCUUCGGCCGCCGCUGGCUGGCGGACCGCUUCUUCUCGGCGGGGGGCAACGCGGGGAUGGUCGCCGAGCCGCACCGCUUCCCGCAGCCGCAGGAGCGCACGCUGCGCUUCUUCCCGCCCGCCUCCGCCGGCAAGACCUCCUGCUACUCCCUCCCGCUCGCCCCCGGCCGCUACUACCUCCGCGUCUUCUCCGUCUACGACAACUACGACUCCAAGCUCCGCUCCCCGUCCUUCGACGUCUCCGCCGCCGCCACGCUCGUGCUCUCCUUCCGCUCCCCGUGGCCCGAGACCGCCGCGCGCUACGGGGCCUACUCCGACCUCAUCUUCCCCUCCGACGCAGAGGCCACCGACGUCUGCUUCUACUCGCUCUCCACCGACGCCCCCGUCGUCGCCUCCAUCGAGGUCGCCCCCGUCCACCCGCUCGCCUACGACGGCGCCACCACCGGCGCCGACGUCGUCCUCGUCAACUACGGCCGCCUCACCUGCGGGAACAGCCUCUUCGGCCCCGGCUUCACCAACGACUCCGACGCCUUCUCCAGGGUGUGGCAGGCCGGCACAGAUUUCCGGAACAACGACCUCACCUACGACGCCAUUACUGCCGGUGGGAGGAAGAUUUUCGGCAGCAACCAGCCGCCCAAUUACUUCCCCACCAAGAUGUACAGGUCGGCGGUGACCACCGGCGGGGACGCCUCCAACGAGAUCGAGUACCUGAUGCCGGUGGACACGAGGAUGUCCUACAUGGUCUGGCUGCAUUUCGCGGAGAUCGACGCCGGGGUCAGGGCCCCUGGCCAGAGGGUGUUCGACAUAAUGCUUGCCGGGAGGAACGUGACCAGGAUCGACAUCUUCAAGCAGGUGGGAGGGUUCACGGCCUUCAAGUGGACAUACAUUGUGGAGAACCUGACCAGCUCCACCAUGAGCGUCAGGCUUGUGCCAGUAGUGGGACGGCCGAUUCUGUGCGGGCUCGAGAAUUACGCAAUGGUGCCCCUUGAGACAAGGACGGUGCCACACCAAGCGGCUGCGAUGAAGGCCCUGAAGGAUUCACUGAAAAUUCCAGCUAGGAUGGGGUGGAAUGGGGACCCUUGCGCGCCGCGGACAUGGGAUGCAUGGGAGGGAGUCACUUGCCAUCCUGGUAACAAAGGGCUUGUGAUCACUCAGCUGGAUCUUGCAAGUCAAGGGCUGAAAGGUUUCAUCUCUGAUGAAAUUAGUCAUCUGACCGACUUGGUAAGCUUGAACUUGAGCUCUAAUUCGUUGACCGGAAGCUUGCCACCAGGUUUAGGCCAACCUUCACUUGCGACACUGGAUCUGUCCUCGAACCAGUUUACUGGGAGUAUUCCUGGCACCAUAGGCUCGUCUAAAUUACAGACUGUUCUACUAAACGGCAAUCAACUUGAUGGGCAAGUUCCAGAAAGACUUUAUUCAGUUGGCGUGCAUGGUGGCGUGAUAGAUCUGUCAGGUAAUAAAGGCCUAUGUGGGGUGCCUACUCUACCUGCUUGUGCAUUAUUCUGGGAGAAAGGAGGCUUGAAUAAAACCGGCAAAAUUGCACUUGGAGCCUCGUUUGGACUUCUUCUGCUUGUUAUACUUAUAGUGGUCUACAUAGUGUGCAUAAGACGGGGACCAUACGACUACGAUUUCGAGUUCCCUCAAGAUUUGACUUCGAUAUCAGCAAUCUCCGCGAAAAGGAACAGGUAUCAGCGGGCAAAGUCCGUGAUGCUGGCAGAGAUGGACGCCCACAACACAGAUGGUUUCUACACGAACGGGAACGGGAACACUCGAUAA
rnacentral:rRNA from 1 species